AUUUUGUGGAGUACACGUUAGCACUCUCCUUUGCAAGGAUAGAAGAGGUCCUUGGGCCAAACAACACCCAUACAGUUAAGGCAUUGCCACCUACUCCAAGCAGUUUUUAAUGAUUAUUUUCA
ensembl:snRNA